rnacentral:rRNA from 1 species
CAGUCGCCGCGGUAAAACGUAGGUGGCAAGCGUUGUCCGGAAUUAUUGGGCGUAAAGGGCUCGCAGGCGGUUUCUUAAGUCUGAUGUGAAAGCCCCCGGCUCAACCGGGGAGGGUCAUUGGAAACUGGGAAACUUGAGUGCAGAAGAGGAGAGUGGAAUUCCACGUGUAGCGAUGAAAUGCGUAGAGGUGUGGAGGAACACCAGUGGCGAAGGCGACUCUUUGGCCUAUAACUGACGCUGAGGCGCGAAAGCGUGGGGAGCAAACAGGAUUAGAUACCCCUGUAGUCCCUGUCUCUUAUAC